UAGGGAAUCUUCGGCAAUGGACGAAAGUCUGACCGAGCAACGCCGCGUGAGUGAAGAAGGUUUUCGGAUCGUAAAACUCUGUUGUUAGAGAAGAACAAGGACGUUAGUAACUGAACGUCCCCUGACGGUAUCUAACCAGAAAGCCACGGCUAACUACGUGCCAGCAGCCGCGGUAAUACGUAGGUGGCAAGCGUUGUCCGGAUUUAUUGGGCGUAAAGCGAGCGCAGGCGGUUUCUUAAGUCUGGUGUGAAAGCCCCCGGCUCAACCGGGGAGGGUCAUUGGAAACUGGGAGACUUGAGUGCAGAAGAGGAGAGUGGAAUUCCAUGUGUAGCGGUGAAAUGCGUAGAUAUAUGGAGGAACACCAGUGGCGAAGGCGGCUCUCUGGUCUGUAACUGACGCUGAGGCUCGAAAGCGUGGGGAGCAAACAGG
rnacentral:rRNA from 2 species